rnacentral:rRNA from 1 species
AUUGAACGCUGGCGGCAGGCCUAACACAUGCAAGUCGAGCGAGCGGCGGACGGGUGAGUAAUGUCUGGGAAACUGCCUGAUGGAGGGGGAUAACUACUGGAAACGGUAGCUAAUACCGCAUACCAUCAGAUGUGCCCAGAUGGGAUUAGCUAGUAGGUGGGGUAAUGGCUCACCUAGGCGACGAUCCCUAGCAGGUCUGAGAGGGUGACCAGCCACAAGGGAACUGAGACACGGUCCAGACUCCUACGGGAGGCAGCAGGGAGGAAUAUUGCGCAAUGGGCGCAAGCCGGAUGCAGCCAUGCAGCUUGUGUGAAGAAGGCCUUCGGGUUGUAAAGCACAGGCAGCGGGGAAGCGUUACCCGCAGGAGAAGCACCGGCUGACUCCGUGCCAGCAGCCGCGGUAAUAC